UACGGGGGGGGGCAAGCGUUGUUCGGAAUUACUGGGCGUAAAGGGCUCGUAGGCGGCCAACUAAGUCAGACGUGAAAUCCCUCGGCUUAACCGGGGAACUGCGUCUGAUACUGGAUGGCUUGAGAUUGGGGAGAGGGAUGCGGAAUUCCAGGUGUAGCGGUGAAAAUGCGUAGAUAUCUGGAGGAACACCGGUGGCGAAGGCGGCAUCCUGGACCAACACUGACGCUGAGGAGCGAAAAGCGUGGGGGAGCGAACAGG
rnacentral:rRNA from 1 species